rnacentral:lncRNA from 1 species
UGACUGAAUUUUAGCCCAUAGAUUGUGAACAGAAGCUAUGCACGUUACUUUGGAGAUGAGAUGAGUAAGAAGUGGGUACACCUUCUCUCCCCUUUAUGUCUUCCUGCUGAGGGCCAUGAAGCCUAGGAGAGGAAGGAACCCCAAGUUUAAAAGGAUAUGGAUCCUUGAAAUACUUCUUGGAGGACAGCUGCCUGCCAUUCUGAAAUGUUUGCGCCAGCUUCAUAUAACCAUGAUCCUGCCCUCCGGAAGUCAGAAAAGAAUGAAUAACUUUGAACACAUCACAGCAAUAAAAAUAUAAGAAUAAUGCUGGGGUCAUCACAAACAGAGGCAGAUGGUGGUGGCAUUUCCUUCUUGCCGGGAGCUCAGAUAUUAUCUGGAUAGAUUUCAGCAGGCUUUGUGUCCAUUCCCUCUCAGCGCGGGCAGCUUUCCUGGAUAGAGCCCCAGCCACCCAAACGGCAGACAGAUUUGAUUUAACUGCGAUGACUUGUGUAUCGGGUGACUUUGGAUGGUUUAAAACAAUGGCCUGUGGAAUCUACUUACACAGCACUAUGGGAAUGAGGAUGAAGGGUCAUAUCCAUGGUUAAUCCGAUCAAUUGUCUGCUACACACAGAGGUAUUUGUAGCCAUUGAUGAUAAUAUUGGCAAACGUCCUACAAGAACUUGGAGGUAUACUUACGCUCAAGUUAAAGAAGGAACAAGGAGUUUCAGGAGUUUCAGAAAAGCAAAGUAAGUUGGUCUAGGCUACCCAGGUUGUAAGUGUCAGGAGAGGAUUCAAAUUCCAUUUAUUUUUUUUUUUCCUUUUAAAUGUUGGCCCUGAACUAACAACAUCUGUUGCCAAUCUUUUUUUUUCCCUUCUUUUCCCCAAAGCCCCCCAGUACAUGGUUGUAUAUUCUAGUUGUGAGUGCCUCUGGUUGUGCUGUGUGGGAUGCCACCUCAGCAUGGCCUGAUGAGUGGUGCCACAUCCGUGCCCAGGAUCUGAACUGGCGAAACCCUGGGCUUCUGACAUGGAGCACACAGACUUAACCACUCAGCCAUGGGGCUGGCCAGUCAAACACCAUUUAAACUGUGCCCUUUUUCACUACAUUACUCUUAGAGUCAUGGGUAUUUAUUGAAUAAGAAAAUGAUGUGAAAUAAGUAUUUUAUAAAGAUUACCAUAGUGGCCAUAUAUGAGAAGGAUUACAGAGGGGAGAGACCAAAGGUAAGUAGAUGAAAAGGGUCUCCCUAGAGUCCUGUCAUUGGAAACAGAAAGGAAAGAACAAAAAUAAGAAACAUUGCCAGGCAAGAUCAUGGGACCUGGGGUGACUGAAGGUCUGAAUUACUGAAAGGCUGAGGAGAAUGAGGAUGGGGGAAAAAAGCCCAGGAAGACUGGGUGGUGAGAAGGCCACUGGCAACCUUGGGAACCCAUUUUCAGUAACAGGAUAUUGAUGGAAGCCAGCCUACAGGUGAGGAAGGAGUGAGUCAGUGGUUAGGAAAUGGAGGAUGUGGGGGCAGACCACAGAUUUGAGAAAUCUGGAAGAAAAUGAAGGAAAUAAAUAAAAGCCUUCUGAGGAGGUUUCAGGGUCAUGAAAAAUUUUUUUUGAAGAGGAGAAACCUGUGCACAUUUGAAGACAGAGGAUAGUAUGCAGAUAGGAGACAAUAUUAAAGGAACUAGAGAAAGAGGGGCUGCUGUACAUGGAAGGGGUCAAAGAAGUUGGGAGGGGAUGGGUCAGAAUUGGUGGACUGCCUGAUAGAACCUUCCAGAAUGAGGAGAAUGGUCUACAUCUGUGCUAUUCCAUAUGGUAGCCACUAGCCCCAUGUGGCAACUGAACACUUGAAAUGUUCCUAAUGAGACUGAGGAACUGAGUUUUUAAUUUUGCUUAAAUCUAAAUAGCCACAUAUUUCAGCAGCCAGUGGCUAUGAUGUUGGACAGUGCAUGACCCUUAGACAACCAAAGAUUUUGUCUCCUGAGGAAGGGAAAUAAGUUCUUCCUCUGACUCAGGAAAGGAGAGCAGAGAGGAAGACAAACCAAGGAUGUUUCAUAUGUAGGGGAGGAAAAAUGAGUUUACCCCUGCCAUGUGACCUUGAUAUUCAUUGGUUAUACCUUGGUGAUAGCACAUUAUCAGAUCAUUAGAUUAAGACAGCCCACCUGAGUUAAAAGGCAUUUGAAAUUCACAUCAUCCCCAUGUAGAUGUGUUCUGAACUGUAAUCUGCACUGACUAGAUGAAUUGAAGAAUUGCCAAAUCUCAUAUAGUUCUACCAAUACUCACCCUCAGUCUGUCUGCAGCUCUUGAUCAAGAUGCUCCUUGUUCAUGUUAGAGAGAGAUGGAGAGGAGUCUAGUAGGUUCCUUGGGAUGAGGACCAUUUUUUGAAUAGGCUUUCCAGGUGUCUGAGUGACAACAAAAUCCUUCUCUGAUUUCCUAGUCCCCGGUCUGCUUCCACAUCUCACGGUCAUUUUGGAUCUGGAUAUUUUAAAGCUGAAAGGAGGUGAUUCCCCUCAGAAUGGUUUCACUUAGUCAUAAUAAAAGUUUUCUUGAAGAAUUUCCCAGCCAGAGAAAGGGGUGUAUGUCCUGCCCUGUAUUCUCCAGGUAAACAAAGAGAGAGCCCCCAAUAGGUGUCCAUUGUUGCCGUAAGAUAUCAUCACCCAUCAUCAUUUCACCGGUAUGCCCGCCCUGGAUCGUGGCGUGUGUUGUUUGGGCUGUUUUUCAUAGCCUCUGCAGCUGGGAAUUCAAGAUGCUAUACUUAGGCAGAAGUCCAUGAAGGAAUUAAUUGAUAUGAGCCAGAAGUUGAUUGCCAUUUAAGUACUCAGCCUUCACCAUUGCCAAGUUUCCCUCUUUGCAGAAAGAACCGAGCUUGCCUGCAAACUGGCUCAUUCAGGAUGUGAGCACAAGAUGGAAUUCAACCUUUAAUAUGCUGCAACACCUGCUUGGAAAUAAAGGGGCUCUGUGCUUUUCCCCCCAAGGAGUUGACAGCUGACUUCAUUACAGAGGAAUCUGGCAGAGAUGGCCGUGGCUACUCCUCAGCCUCCGGAGGCACUCACCCAGGAAUGCAGUGCCAACCAGACCUGAGCUUUGGGAUUCUGCCAGAAACCCAUGCUGGGCCAUUUUACCCUAAAUCAUUCCUCUUCCUUGAACUCUAGGAGUUUUUCUACCUUUGGUAGAGCUGCCUCCAGACAAGGGAGAUGAGAAGAGGCUCUGGCCUGCUGACGCUAAGUGGAGAAGCAUUUGCAGGUGUUCUCCAAUGGGAUCUGGAUUUUCAAACUUUCUUUCUCAAGGGUUCUGCAAUGUUGCACCCCAACAGGCACAAAGGCAGGGCUGCCAUGCUCUACAGAGUGGAACUUGAAGAUUCAUCAGAGACCUUGUCCAAGAUUUGGAACAGACCCAGCGUUGUUCCAAGGAACCUAACCCAGCCUGUGAGAGACUCCUACAGGCCGUCUCUGGUGCCACAACCUUCCAUUGGGGCUGGAACACUGGUUAUGCUUAUGAGCUUUCAAAGUAGAAUGUCAACCUCAUCACCCAUUUGCAUGAUUUCCAAAGCAUAUUAAUCUGGCUUCCACUAGUAACACAGAAUAUAACAUAUCUUACUUGCAACAGGAAAUAUUUCCUUUCUACUAUUUGCUAUUCUUCAUCAUUAAAAAAAAUCUGUCUGAAAUCUAAAUACCCAGAAAGAGGGGUGGGCUCACAGGGAACACAACCAUUUGGUGGAUCACUGCUCAACCUGAAGCAACAGAAAUAUGAAGGCCACAGAGCAACUUCAAAACUGCAUUUGAUGCUAAUUUAAAACAAAGUACUACUCAAACUUUCAUAGAUGAAAAUCACAUAAUUUUUAAACAAAUACUUUAAAUAGUCUGAAAUGAGAAAUAAUUGAUGCCAAAGGUCAAAACUGGCAAUCCAAGAGUUGGGUCUGGCCCGAAAGUGUGUCUCAUAUGGCCCACACGGUGGGGGUCAGCUGAGUUUGAAUAAAAAACGGAGUAGGUUGCCAACAUUUAGAAAUUGGCACAUGGCACAUAACCACCCGGAUUGCUGCCUUCUCCUGAGACACUGGGCAAUCUGGCCUCGGCAGGCUGCUUUCCCUCCAGGCAACAGUUGGGGGCAGGUGAUGGGCAUUUGUCAUCCAGGUUGCCAGAGUCCCUGCUGGGCCAGAUUUCUCGCUCAUUGAGUUUGUAAGCCUGGCCCAGGUGCAAGGGUGGUAGGGUUCUGGGUCAUUUUCCCUCUCUCCCCUUCUUCCAAAACUUGCUCUUGGUUAUUAUGCUACUUCAGAGUUAAAAUAAUCAUUAAAUGCCCAGUUGUAAAAGGUAAUGUGGAGGAAGAGAGUCUGAGGCCCAUACUACUUCUCUACUUCUUGGAUGUUAUUUUCACAUUUCUAGCCUUACGCCCAGUGCACUCGCUUGAGAAUGUGAGCGUGGCCCCGUGGUUCUCGAACGUGGCUACACUAGAAUCACCUGGGGCACUUUUGAUGUCCAGCUUGCACUCCAGACCAAUUAAAUCAGACUCUUGGGAAGUGGGAUUCAGGCAACAGAUUUUUAAAGUUCCCAGGUGAUUCCAAUGUAAAAAGGUCCUUGAAAAAAUCAUGGAAAACUUUAUGUUAGAGCAGUUUCUCAAGCUCGUCACUAUUUUCAUUUGGGACCUGAUAAAUCUUAUUUCUGGGGACCAGUCCUAUGGACUGUAGGAUGUUUAGCAGCAUCUCUGGCCUCUACCCAUAGAUGCAGUAGCAUUUCUCCAGAUGAGAACCACGGCAUUCGAUAGUGAAACUAUGGUCAUUUUUUUUUUAAAGAUUUUAUUUUUUUCCUUUUUCUCCCCAAAGACCCCCGGUAGAUAGUUUCUUUGUUGUGGGUCCUUCCAGCUGUGGCAUGUGGGACGCCACCUCAGCGUGGCCUGAUGAGCAGUGCCAUGUCCGCGCCCAGGACUCGAACCAAUGAAACACUGGGCCGCCUGCAGUGGAGUGCGUGAACUUAACCACUCAGCCACGGGGCCAGCCCCCGAAACUGUGGUCAUUGUAUUGGCCACUUGCCUGUAUAUAAGGUCACUGAGAAAUUUCUCUUGGAAUUAAAAUCUAGGAACAAAAUUUUUCUCUUAAGAAAGUGGUUCCCUUUUGUUGUUUUUUUCCCCUUUACUAUCAGGAAGCUCAAAGCCAAUGCUAAAAUGCAUUCAAAACCAAAACUAAAGCAGAAACAAGACAACUACUCCAGUGUGUUUUCUCCCCUCUGCAUGUCUGCCUGAUGCUAAUUUUCCUAUUAACGUUUUGUUAAUCUUUAAGUUGCUUUACAUUCUUAGGGAAUAAAGUAGGAAAUAAAUAUAAAGAAGGUAACAAGCAAAAGGAGGGAAUGACUGUUCCAUGCACUGCUUGGUAUUUAUGACCCAAAGAACAGUUGGUCAUAAGGAAGACCUGCUAAAUUUGAAUGACCUCAUAGUUUUUGGAGGAUCAGCCAGGCAUACAUGGCAAAUAAGGGUCAACCCCUUUAGCCUCCAGCUUUGUCUGGGAAGAGGCUGAGCUAUGGGGGUGUUGAAGGAGCCCAAUGGCCACCAUGUGGUGGCCUCUAGGAGAAUAAGCACAAGCUUCUGUUGUUUCCUGAGAAUGCCACCUCCUGCUGUUUACUAGGAGUCUGGGAAGUGUCUGAGAGGCGAUGCUGUUCAGGGCAACCUGGGAUCCAGCCCUGGGAUAACACCAUCACCUGCUUUCCGUGAAUGAAGAGCAGAUUACUUUUAGUAAAUACAACCACUCAUUAAUAACCCUAAGUUUUAAAGCUUUUAAAGAAAUCAUUAUUAAGUGUGGCUACUUCAUUUUAAAUGCAAAAACCUUGAAUAGACCAGAGAUCUUAAUUUUUUUAAAGAAGCUGAGUAUUUUAAUUAUGAAUGUACUUGCAUAUUCUUAGCAUACUUCAUUAUUUAUGUAGCCGGUGAAAAAGCUUUCUAAUUAAAUAGCAUGCUGGCAAUCCAUUGUGAAAUGUAUAAAUGCAGGUUUUCCUAGCAUUAAAAAACUACACACAAACACACACGAACCAUUCUGGCAAGCACACAUCCUUUAAUCGCUAUGAGAUACUUGUUUCUGAAUGAUCUUAAGCUUUAUCAAACUUUUGUUUUAUUGGUAACAAAAUAAACAGUAUAAUUUGCCAGCACUCUGCAUGGUUAUACACAUUUAAUACAUUCAACUAACUUGGAAAUGGGGUAGCACAGUGGUUCUCAAAGUGCGGUCCCCAUGCCGGGAGCAUCAGCAUCACCUGGGAACUUAUUAGAAAUACAAAAUUUUGAACCCCACCCCCCGCCACCUGAAUCAGCAGUUCUGGGGAUUGGGCCCCACCCUGUCCUGUAACAAGCCCUCCAGGUGAUCCUGAGGCAGGCUAAAGUUUGGGAACCAUGGGGAUGAGGACUAUGCCUUGUGGUGC